rnacentral:rRNA from 1 species
GAUCCUGGCUCAGGAUGAACGCUAGCUACAGGCUUAACACAUGCAAGUCGAGGGGCAUCAGGAAGAAAGCUUGCUUUCUUUGUCUGGCGACCGGCGCACGGGUGAGUAACACGUAUCCAACCUGCCCUUUACUCGGGGAUAGCCUUUCGAAAGAAAGAUUAAUACCCGAUGGCAUAAUGAUUCCGCAUGGUUUCAUUAUUAAAGGAUUCCGGUAAAAGGAUGGGGAUGCGUUCCAUUAGGUUGUUGGUGAGGUAACGG